CGUUACUGCCUCAUGGUUGAAUAUCACAUUCCCGUUAUUCUUUGGUUUAUUUGUUCCGACAUGAAAGCAUUCCCACUGAAACAGUUGUAGUUUAACUUUUUUUCCUUAUGGCUGUGAUUAUUUCUCCUAAAGUUAGCUAAUUACCAAUAUUAGUUUUAUAUUUUCUAUUCUUUUAGAAUUAGUUUAUUGUUUCCCCUUUUCCACCGGUGACUCUCUUCUGCACGUGAGAAUUAAUUUGAUAACAACAACAACAACAACAACAACAACAACAACAACAACAACAACAACAACAACAACAAUAAAAAUCCAUACAAAUAGAUAACAAUUAAAAAUAAUUCAUAAAAUUCAACUAAAAGUUUUUAUGUUGUUGUAGAGGCUAACUACAUACUUUUAUGUUUAGCUGUGUGUAUUUUUCAAAUGAAUUUACUUUGUGCAACAAAUAUUGAUCUUUUAACAUCUUGCCUUAAAACUGUAAUAAAGAAUAUAAUAAGUUUUAUUUUCUAAUUGAUAUGCAUAUUAAUUUGACAAGUAAUUUGGGUUUCUCAUUAAACUACAAGAUGUUAAUGACAUAAAAUAUUCUUUUUAUAUAAGUUGUAUUUCCAAGAAGAUAAUAAUAAGAUUAAUAACAUAUGAAAAUUCUAGGACGAAUUUUUUAAAUUACAGCUACUAAGACACAUAUUGGAAAGUCAUAUCUGAUUUUUUUGGUUGAAUAUUUUAGUCGUAGGUAAGCAAACAAGCUGACAACUUUCAAAAAUUUAGAUUUUUUAUUGUAGUUUAAAACUGACAUUAUUUAUAUUUCUGUGGUAGUAAUAUAUUAUUAUAUUAAAAUUUGUAUCAUCUAGAUUUUUUUCAUGUUUCUUAGUGAGAUAUGCAUAGCUAAAAAAGUGGGAAUCGAAUUAAUUACUAGUCAAUUAAAUUUUUUAUUCUGUUUAUUAAAAGUCAGUUAUAUAUUAGAUUUGUAUAUAAAAAGUAGUUAACUGUCUGUUAAGAAUGUUAAUGUAAUUAACUGCUAUAAUAUGUUCAAUACGUAUCGCAUCAGAUAUAAAUAAUUAUUCUUAUUGGUUUUUAGGUAGGACAGGAAUGUGGUACUUAUAGAUAUAUUGAGAAAUAAUAAAAAUAAGUAUAAAUAAUGCAACAGGGAAAACAAGUUUUGCGAGAAUCUUUUUAAACCAUGUUUCGAAUGUCCGAAUGUUCAUUUCUUCAUAUUAUAAAACUAUUAUAUUAUAAGAUAUUAUAAAACAAUUGAACAUUAUAUAUACAUAUAAGAAGUGACCGAGGCCAAGUCUACACAGCGCGUAGUCACGGUCCUGCAUAGCUGUGGCCGGUGAGUGAUGACCGUGUGGCGCCAAAGUUCCGUACACGCGCUCUUCACGGACAUUUUCUUAACCUGUCCGAAAGAAAAACUGUUCUCACGCUUCUCACGGGGGUGUUCCUCUUCAGAAAUGUCCGCAGAAUCCAAUGGUGCAUAGCUAGUGAUUAUUGCAAGACACGAAAAAAGUUCAAAUUUGUUCCACAGUGUUAUUAGUUAAUAUAGGUAUGUAUUUGAUAAACUGUCAAGAGCUUGGUUGACUGAUCUUCAAGAUGUGAAACUAUGGAAUCAGUGUGAUAUAUAUCGAGUCAGGGGGUGAAUAAUGGAAAUACAAAGCCUAGUGUAAGGGCAAAGUGCAAAGGACAGGAUGAGUCAGUAGGUACAGGAGACUAGAUGAGUAGGCGCUUGAAUAGUGUGAUUAGGAUGUUUGUUGCCGGAUGAUUCUAUGUGUUUAUGGAGUGAUGAGAUGUUGCUGUUGUCGAUGAGUUGGUCUUACAACACCUCCCUUCUUUUUGUCCAAAAUUUCUAAUUUUGGAGUAAGAUGUCAGCGAUUUAGUAUCCUUACGAUUAAAUAUUGUAACCUACGUUAAUUAUACAAAGGUUCUAUACUAUAUAUAUGUACGUAUAAAUUUGCCGCAGUCGUGUACAAUAAUGAAUGUUUUAACUCUAUACUAUAAUUUAUAAAUGUUACAUAUACAAAUACUAUAACCUAGAAUAAGAGUAGUGUUACAAACAUGGGUAUACGUUAAAAUAAUUUGGUAACGAGAUCGUAUGAAUCCUUAUUACUAGCAAUUAUUAAUAACUAUGCGGAACACGCGAUUACAAAGAAGUUGUACUUUUUCGCGUUCGUGAUCCAGACUUUGAUCGGAGAUUGGAACUUUGUAUCCCUCCACGCCUUUCGAACAGAACGAUGUUGUUGAAAUGGUCUCUAUGUUCACUAUGAUUAUUUGAAUCAAAAUUACAUUGAACGAAGUUUUUAAUAAUUGGUAGCACCAUUUCUCUUGUUCUGGGACUCCUGGUAAAACAGCAAAAACGCUUGAGCAGGUUCCAGCAGCCAAGCCAGUAACAGCAGUUUCCAAAAAGAAUAAGGAUUAGGAUGGCAGUAAUUACUCCUAAUGUUAUCGUGUACCAACUUGUAUGAGUAACGAUAAAUGGCUCCUUCAGGAGAUGAGUUAGCAAUUCAUCGAACUCGUUGAGUUUUUUGCUAUUAUAUUUUAGAUCAGUCAAAUCAAUGUUCAUGAGUUUUAUGGCCUUCAGAGAUGUUACAGAUUUAUGAAGUAAAUAAUCUGUUGCUUGGGUACAACAGUCGUCUUCAGUUAAAUUAAUUCGGGGGACAUAAUGACUAAUAUUUUUGUUUAUGUAGUUUGUGGGUUCCAAUAAAUAAGAAAUAGUAUAUCCUUUGCUGCCAUUGUGCAAUUGUAUUAUGCCUGUCUUCUUUAAAAUGAUAUCCUCCAUGUGAUUAUUGGUGUCCUCACCACAGAUGAUUGUCAGCGUAAUUGAUUUUUGUAAAACAUACAGCUACUGAUUGUUUCCAAUGUAACUCCAUACUUCCAUUUCGGCGUUUAUUGUUCUUGUUGAGCAGUCUUGCGGUAAUUGUUUAACAUGGGGAGAUAACAACCGUACCUCGCAGGUGGACUCCUCGGUGGUUCUGGCUGUAUUUACGUUGGUGCAUACGUACUUUCCUUCCAGAUACUCAGCGCAAUUCUUCAAAUCCGACAGGACGGCGAAAUAGGAUUUUUGCUGGGAUAUGAGUAGGUAUGGAUUUUGAGGUGUGAUAAAUGAAAAGACAGAAGUAUUUUGAUGUUGAACGGGUAGUGGAAUCAGGUUGAACAGGUCGAAAUUACUUUUUUUCACGAGUGGUAAUUGUAUCACAAAUACUACAAGCUCGUCUAUUUUGAUGCUCUGAAGCUUCUUUAACUUGUAAAUCUUAGGUAAAUUUUUGUAGGUCGGGGUAAUAACUAAUUCAAAUUCACCUUUGUAAUUAGUUAACUCUUUGCAAAGGUUCUUUGGUGUAAUUAGAAAUGGGGAGAUUAUGUUAUGAUUACCUAAAUUAAUGGAUUCUAUAUUCUUGUCAAAAUUAUCAGAGACCUGAGUGCAUAAAGAGAGUAAGAUGGCUACUUGUUCCAUAAUAGUUGCUUCUAACGAUAAUUUUAUAACGUAAUUAUUUGUUUCUAACAUAUAGUUAUUAAUUGUUUUCAUAUUGCUGUUCAGAGUGUCUUCUGUAUGUUUUAGAGAUUGAAUUGAAUUAUUAAAAUUUUUUAUAGUACCCGAAACUAUCUGUAUCUGAGAUUUUAACAGGGUUUGCGUUUGUCUAUUAUCAUUUAAUAAAGCUUUGAUACUAUCAGAAUAAUAUCUGGCAUCGUCCGCGUCCGGGGUGCCGAUUAACCAAUUUAAAACAUAGGAAGCUCCAUUAAUUAAUCCGCGUCGUUUACGCUGUUUUAAGUAAUAUACUAAUAUAUACUCUUUACCUUUUGGAUCAAAUUUAUUCCUUAUUCUUGUACCUUUCUCUAAUGCGAUGACCUUGCUUCCUAUUUUUCUGAGAAAACCAAUAAAAGGUUUUUCAUAGGUCCAUUCUUCAUAUGGAGUGACGUCUUUGUUGGCUUUGGUUGGAGAUCGAUUCUUCAAGAAUACUGAUGUGUUUAUGGCUUUGGCCCAAAGUGAUGUCGGAAGCAUACCUUGUAGGAGCAUACAGCGUGCCAUUUCCACCAAAGUACGAUAUGUCCGCUCAGCAAUCCCAUUUUGCUAUGGUGUGUAUGCUGUUGAUAAUUGACGUGUUAUGCCACUUCCUUUUAGAAAUUCAUUGAACUCAUGAGAUAGGUACUCCUUCGCAUUAUCAGUCCUGAGCUUCUUUAUUCUGCAGCUAGUAGUAUUUUCCGCAUAAGCUUUAUAUUCUUUAAAUGCUUGGAAGACAUCCGAUUUGUUUCUCAGUGUUUUUAUACAUAUGUAUCGACUCUUGUCAUCGAUAAAUGUGACAAAGUAUUUAACUCCCCCAAGUGACUGUACACUAAAUGGACCACAAAUGUCACUAUGCACAAGCUCUAAUUUUUUGCUUGCUCUGUGCUGAAAAGUACCGAAUGGGAGUUGGUGUAUCUUGCACUUGUCACAUACUUCACAACUCGGAUUUUGUUUUUCAAAAUUAUCAUUUAUCCCAAUUGCCAUCUGCUUACUCUUUAGAUU